GUUCUGCAAAGUCCAUCAUUUAUGUCCAAAUACGUCCGUUUUGUUGACCCAUCCAGAACACUUUACAAUGCCAUGUGGCGUGGAUGCAAAUCCAUAGACGAAAUGGUCAAAAGUUCCAUUACCGUUUGUAGAAACACGUCAAACGAUGUUUACAAUCAAUCCUUUAGGGUAUUUUUUUACGUAAAAUUGCGAUAAUUUUACAACCGGGCAAUAGGUAUUCAUCCCAGAAGAAAAUAUUAUAUUUUCUGGGCCAGAGUAGUAAUCUGUUUAAAUUGGGUACGUUUUUCAUCUGGCCGUGAAAAUACUGCCCCUAGCCCCAACAGGUUUUAAGGUAGGGAUGUCCCAAGGAUCCCGGAUAGCAUUGACCAUUGUGCAUUCUUCUGUCUCUUUUUUACAUAGCAAGUGAUAGGUUCUGACUUCUGAACUUGAAAAUAUGAAAUAUCCUUAUUUAUGUCACUGUUUGAGAGAAGGGGAUGUAGAACGUUUACAUUCUGUCAGAAUGUGUUAUUGUUAGAUGUCAGGGAUCCUAUGGAAGGAGAAGGGCCACAGUCUGGUACAAGUCAACAGGACAGCCGUGAGGUGGGGAGGAGAAGGGCCACAGUCUGGAACAAGUCAACAGGACAGCCGUGAGGUGGGGAGGAGAAGGGCCACAGUCUGGAACAAGUCAACAGGACAGCUGUGAGGUGGGGAGGAGAAGGGCCACAGUCUGGUACAAGUCAACAGGACAGCCGUGAGGUGGGGAGGAGAAGGGCCACAGUCUGGAACAAGUCAACAUGACAGCUGUGAGGUGGGGAGGAGAAGGGCCACAGUCUGGAACAAGUCAACAGGACAGCUGUGAGGUGGGGAGGAGAAGGGCCACAGUCUGGAACAAGUCAACAGGACAGCCGUGAGGUGGGGAGGAGUGAGGAAUUUAGGCCGAGGUUAGGUCAGAUGAAGUGAGGAAGAACUGAUAUCACUAAAGUUCUGCCUAGCAACAGAGGUGUAAGGAGGAGACUCAGCAUAAAUGGUUAAAUACCAGUAAGGAGGAGACUCAGCAUAAAGGGUUAAAUACCAGUAAGGAGGAGACUCAGCAUAAAGGGUUAAAUACCAGUAAGGAUGAGACUCAGCAUAAAGGGUUAAAUACCAG
rnacentral:lncRNA from 1 species